CCUUCCGGAAGACCGGGUCAAAAUGCCUAAAAAGUACUCCAUCAAACCAAGAAUUUCCCUUCUCGUCCCUUGCCUCCACCUUCGGGCCUUCGACUUCUUCCUCCGCCUCCGGCCGCCGGCCAUACUGUCGUCCGGCACCAUGAGGGGAGAUCUCGCCGCCGAGAGGAUGACUAUGGUCUCGAGUUUCCGGAAGGUGCGCUGGGUCUCCAUUUUCUUGGGGAUCUGGAACCUCGGCGUGGUUCUUUUCGGAGGGUUUUUGCUGCUCUCCGUCGUCUCCGGCUGCUCCGAUGAGGAGAAGCUCUCAUUCGCCGUGGUUUCCCUCGUCGCCGGCGUUAGGAUCAUGGCCAUGGUGGGCGCCGGAAAGGCGCAGCAGGAGACGGCGGAGUCGAUUGUUAACCAUCCUAUCGAGAGCUCCAUCGCUGUUGAUGCGGUGAUUCGCCACGAGAGACGGUUGAGGUAUAAAAGAUGGCUUUGGUGGGCAAGAUUUGGAACGGCCGUCACUGUUCUCCAGUUUCUGGGAGCUGUUUAUCUGAUGUACAUUAUUUUCAGCGAUUUUUCUUAUAAUAGAGGGUCUAAAUCAUGUUUUUCAGAUCAGGAUAAAGCCACUCGAGUAUGGAAGCGGUUUUUGGUUGUUUCUUUUCUUGUCCUAGUAUGGCUUGUUGUGAUCAUACAGUGUUUUACGGGUUCAGACAUAUUGCGAUGGAGGUCAUUUUAUGCAACUCAUGAUACUGCAUGGAAAGCUCAUUACCGGGAGGUAUUUGAUCAUGGAAUUCGAGAAGCUUUGUGCUGUCUAGGACGUGUGAAAUACCUGAGUGUCUUGGAAGAAGAUGAGGUCUACUCUGUGGCAAGGCUCUUAGGAGAUCUUGUGGCAUAUCGUGCAUCUGGAACUGGACAUCUAGAACUCCUGGCAGGACUGGCACUAUUGCAGAUGCAUAAGCAAUCACCAAAAUUGCAUGAUGAGCUGAUUGAGGCAUCUGAUGAACUUAUUCAGGAAGCUGCAGUCUUGCAUCCAUUCGCUGAAGCUGCUUAUACAGGACCGCUACUUGAUUUUGGAAGGAAUCCGAUCUUGUUUCCUUGUGCAUGGCUUUAUAGGCAAGGGGUUUUAACUCCCUGGACUCGCGGCAGGCGUCCUGCACUUGAAGGGGAUAACUGGUGGCGAGGGCAUGCUGCAGCCUUUCUAAAAUAUGUUAAUCUAAAUCCAGAAGCUCUUCGACGGGGGCGUGUUAGUCAAACAAAGCGUGAGGCUGCUUAUUUUGUAGUGGUUUUGCAUGAUCAAAGAUCUAUAAUCAUUGCUGUACGUGGAACUGAAACCCCUGAAGACCUUAUAACUGAUGGCUUAUGUAGGGAGUGUGCUCUUACCACGGAGGAUUUGGAUGGACUGAUAAAUGGUGAGCAUGUAUGCCCGAGUGUGAGACAAAGAAUUCUCUCCUCUUUCCCACAUUAUGGACAUGCAGGGAUUGUUGAGUCUGCUCGUGAGCUUUUCAUGCAAAUUGAUGGUCAGCCUGGAGGCAAAGAUGACUCAUCUGAAAUGUCUGGAUUUCUCUCUUCUUUGUUGGGAGUGGGAUGUGAAUGUCUUGGAUAUAAAGUUCGCAUUGUGGGGCAUUCUUUAGGAGGUGCUGUUGCUACACUAUUGGGGAUAAGGUUAUACCGACGAUUCCCUAACUUGCACGUAUAUGCUUAUGGAAGCCUUCCCUGUGUAGAUUUAGCUUUAGCUGAAGCAUGUUCAGACUUUGUUACCACAAUUGUAUACAAUGAUGAAUUUUCUGCCUGCCUUUCCGUUAACUCGAUACUCAGGCUUCGUGCAGCUGCAAUCACAGCUCUUUCAGAUAAUUCUUCAGCUGAUUCAGCAAUGAUACAGAAACUUGCCCGCAGAAUUCUUCAUAUAAACAAAUACCAUGAGAGUGGGGAGCAUGCUGAUGCAUCUUCUCCAUCUUAUAGACCAAGUACCAUGAGAGUGGAAGAAAGUAAAAAUAUAUAUAAGAGAAGGCCCUUUAGGCCUACCAUUGAAGGGUGUAGCCAGCCUGAUCAAGAACUGCAUGAUCCACAUCAGGAGGAGGCUUCCUUAUUUGCCAAUUCAGACUCUGAAAUUCUAAAAUUUGGUGCCAGCCAGUAUACCAAUUAUGAUGUCAUUAUAGAUGGUCCCAAUGAAUGUAACUAUAGGGAACCAUGCUUUGAGAAGUCUGAUUUUAUUUUGUCAUUUGAGGAUCAAACUUCUCAGUCUUUGGAAGAUCCAACGUCUGUUCCAGUGUCACUGGAACCCCCGGAGGUGUUUCUGCCAGGUCUCAUCAUUCAUAUCGUACAAGAACCAAGAAGCAUCAUGCCUUUGUGGAAAAGCUGGAUUGUUCAUGAUCAUAAAACUGUUUAUAGAGCUUUUGUGGCUAAGAGAGAGAGCUUCAGAGAUAUCAUUGUGACACCUUCCAUGUUCAUUGAUCAUCUACCAUGGAGCUAUGGUUUUUGUGACCAUCACUGAAACGGCUCAACAGCAGAAUCCUGGGCCUCUAGCUCACAUUAUGGGACUCGGUCCCCACAGCGGGCAUGGCCGCAUGGCCACCCAUCAUUAUAACCUUCCAUGAGCAAUAUGAAAAUAUGAAAUGUCCAAACAUCUGUACAAAUUGAAAAAAACGCAAGUAAAUUUAAAAAUUUAUUUCCAAAAAGUAUUUUAUGUUUACCUAUAAAUAAGUUGUGUAAAUGUAUAUUGAUGCUGUGAAUUAGUGGAUGAGAGUGUUGGCGACUGGUAUGUGAUGGCUCUGUAGGUAAUACAUAGAAGUGUGCCUCCAACAGCAUUUUUAUUUUAUUUUUACCCAAAAAAGAAACAAUUUUUUUCUUGUUUUAAAUAAUCUGAAUAUAAAACAAAAUUAAUUUAAUGGGGGAAAAAAAUAAAAACCGGCAAGGUAACCAAAGCGGUGUUGGUCUUUAAAGCAGCCUUAUCUGACCGGCAUGCUGCCAUCGUUUCGUUCCCCUUGCUUGAUAGGUGGUCCAGAGAUCAGACGGCUAUUGGGACUCAAAGGUGCAUCAAAACUCACUGGGGCCGUUCAAUGAUUGGUGGCUCCAAGUUGGCUUCUGGGGACCAUAAAUUUUUGCUUGCGCCGAAAGAUCAUACAACCAUUUCUUUAUUACCUUUAUAUUAUAUAUCAUGAUUAUUAUUAAUUGCUUCUUUUUUAUUUUAUUUUUGUCUCCACCACCACCAAAGCUCCCACCUUUACCUUUUCUUCCUCCCCUGUUUCCACGAAUUCUCACGCCAUUUGCCCCAAAAUUCCUCGGUCCGAUCGACCGAGCUUGUUCCAUCUCCGGCCAUUUCCGAGCAGAUCUUCGAUCUUUUUUUGCUGCGAGCCAUCUAUUUCUCUUAAAAAUGGGAAAAAGUUCGAUCCUUUGAGGCCGAUUUCGGGGCAUCUUCUCCAUUCUUAGCGUUCCACCGAGCUCUCUUGAUUCGAUUCGUUUCUAGGUAGAUAAAUCUCCUAUCUUUGAUUCUUCUCGUUUUUCUAGCUUCCAUCAGGCCAGGAAAUCGCUCCUUUUUCGAUUCUUGGCGGAAAUUUUCGGUCAUCGUUCUCUGUUUCUUAAUCUUUGUCGUCUCGAAUUUUCUCUCUUUAAGUCAUCAUCCAAAAAAAUCCCGUUUUUUUUUUUUGGUUCGAUUUCCACUAGAAAAUUGGUAUUUUUCCCGAUCAUAGUCUCAAAAAUCUCUUUUUCUUCGAUUUAUAAAUCUUUCUAGUGUUAGCUUAUAAUUCUGUGGUCCAUUCUCGCUUCAAUUACCGUCGAUCUAUUAUCCUCUCGAGCUAUAUAUUUCUGGGAUCCUUUCUAUCCAUCUUAGCGCAAUCAAAUGGCCCAAGAAAGCUGUAAUCUUGACAAAGAUGAGGCCGAAAUCCUGAAACCCUCCUCUUCUUCCUCCCCUUCUCCUUCUCCAUCCUCUCCUCCUCCGUCUUCCUCAUCGCCUCCUCCUUUAUUCAUGAAACCCUGCGAAGAAUUCCCGGUCCAGAGGCCGGAAGCUCCGGCCGCCGCGGCGUCGCCAGCCGCCGCCGUGGUCUUGACCACUCCGAAGCCCGACGAGGAAGCUCAGUCACCCGUUCGGUUUAGUAACAGGUGCUCCACCUGCCGGAAAAAGGUGGGCCUGACUGGAUUCCGGUGCCGAUGCGGCGAUCUCUUCUGCGGCCGCCACCGAUACUCCGACACCCAUGACUGUUCCUUUGAUUACAAGGCGGCCGGAAGGGAGGAGAUUGCAAAGGCCAACCCUGUUGUUAGAGCUGCUAAGAUCAUCAAGAUCUAAGGUUAUGUGAUUGUGAGGUGGGAGGCUAGCUGGAAAUGUCUGGAAGUGGAUACAUGCAUCUAUCUGGUGGCGAAAACAAAAGCUUUUUCAAAGCGUUUGCUUGGCUCUAAGAAAUUGCUGUAUUAUUGCAUUCUAAGCUCUUUGUCAACAGUCUAAUAUGGAGGCUUUGAGAUUGAGAGCAACGAGCAACCUUCCGGUCAGCAAGGGCUCGAACAAUCCCAUCCAUCCAUCUUUGAUUAUUCUCAAUUGUGAUAAAUUAAGUCCUUGCGCUUGGUGUUUUCUUUUCAUUGGCUUUUCCUAACCAUCAAUGAUGUGGUCAAUUGUGCAACCUAAUCAAAUAGGCUUCCUGGAUUAGAUU